rnacentral:rRNA from 1 species
GACGAACGCUGGCGGCGUGCUUAACACAUGCAAGUCGAACGGAAAGGCCCUGCUUGCAGGGUACUCGAGUGGCGAACGGGUGAGUCACACGUGGGUGAUCUGCCCUGCACUUCGGGAUAAGCCUGGGAAACGGGGUCUAAUACCGGAUAGGAGCCAUUUUUAGUGUGAUGGUUGGAAAGUUUUUUCGGUGUGGGAUGAGCUUGCGGCCUAUCAGCUUGUUGGUGGGGUAAUGGCCUACCAAGGCGGCGACGGGUAGCCGGCCUGAGAGGGUGGCCGGCCACAUUGGGACUGAGAUUCGGCCCAGACUCCUACGGGUGGCAGCAGUGGGGAAUAUUGCUCAAUGGGCGCGAGCCUGAUGCAGCGACGCCGCGUGGGGGAUGACGGCCUUCGGGUUGUAAACGCCUUUCGCUAGGGACGAAGCUUUUUGUGACGGUACCUAGAGAAUAAGCACCGGCUAACUACGUG